rnacentral:ncRNA from 1 species
AGGAUAGAGGUGCGGCUGCGAUGAGUAGCGAUCCUGAGGACGCUCGGUCCGGUGAGAGAUCGUUAAAGGCAAUGCCGCCGAAGGGCAGAUCCGCGAGCAGGAUCACGCUCUGGUGCUGUACAAAAGAUGUACCGCACUGUCAUCAUGUGUGAUGGAGAGCUAUCG